rnacentral:rRNA from 1 species
GACGAACGCUGGCGGCGUGCUUAACACAUGCAAGUCGAACGAUGAACCCGGAGCUUGCUCCGGCGGAUUAGUGGCGAACGGGUGAGUAACACGUGAGUAACCUGCCCUUGACUCUGGGAUAACUGCGGGAAACUGUAGCUAAUACCGGAUACGACCCUCGGCGGCAUCGCCAGGGGGUGGAAAGAAUUUCGGUCAAGGAUGGACUCGCGGCCUAUCAGCUAGUUGGUGAGGUAACGGCUCACCAAGGCGACGACGGGUAGCCGGCCUGAGAGGGUGACCGGCCACACUGGGACUGAGACACGGCCCAGACUCCGACGGGAGGCAGCAGUGGGGAAUAUUGCACAAUGGGCGCGAGCCUGAUGCAGCAACGCCGCGUGAGGGAUGACGGCCUUCGGGUUGUAAACCUCUUUUAGUAGGGAAGAAGCGAAAGUGACGGUACCUGCAGAAAAAGCACCGGCUAACUACGUGCCAGCCGCCGCGGUAA